UAGAAGAACUAACAGGAUCCCUCAGUAACGGCGAGUGAAGCGGGAAUAGCUCAAAUUUGAAAUCCUACUGGUUUCCAGUAUGAAUUGUAGUUUAAAGAAGCGCUUUCGAAGACAAACUAAGAUUAAGUUUCUUGGGAUAGAACAUCAUAGAGGGUGAGAAUCCCGUAUGUGUUUUAGUUUAGUUUUUAUGUGAUGCGUUUUCAAAGAGUCAGGUUGUUUGGGAAUGCAGCCUAAAAUGGGUGGUAAAUACCAUCUAAAGCUAAAUAUUGGCGAGAGACCGAUAGCGAACAAGUACCGUGAGGGAAAGAUGAAAAGAACUUUGAAAAGAGAGUUAAAAGUACGUGAAAUUGUCAAAAGGGAAACACUUGAAACCAGUUUUGUAUUUAGAAUCCCAACUAAUCUAACGAUUAGCAUAUGUUUCUAAAUACAGGUCAAUAUCAGUUUUUUUUGAAGUACAAAGCUUGAAGAAGGUGGCCUCUCGGGGUGUUAUAGCUUCAAGUAAUGCUUUGGAAAAGACUGAGGAAUGCAGCGCAGUCUUGGGUACCUUGUUGCUAGUUGAUGCAUUUUUCUAGAAUACUUGUAUAUUAGGAGAAUGAUAAGACUAAUCAGUGAGUUUGCCACACCUGUGCUUCGGCUAUUGACAUAAUGGUUUUAAAUGACCCGUCUUGAAACACGGACCAAGGAGUCUAACACAUAUGCGAGUUUUUGGGUGGAAAACCCGGGAAGCGCAAUGAAAGUAGUAAGGUGGGAAUCGUAAGAUGCACCAUCGACCGGUCUGGAUAUUUUUUGAUAGAUCUGAGUAAGAGCAUAUUUGUUAGGACCCGAAAGAUGGUGAACUAUGCCUGAAUAGGGUGAAGCCAGAGGAAACUCUGGUGGAGGCUCGUAGACAUUCUGACGUGCAAAUCGAUGUUCAAAUUUGGGUAUAGGGGCGAAAGACUAAUCGAGCUUA
rnacentral:rRNA from 1 species